UUAGACAGGGUAUCGCAAACCUUUG
rnacentral:piRNA from 1 species